GCGAUGAAGCGGGAGGUUGCGGCCCUGUCUGAAAGGGCAGAGGCCGGUGUUUCCGUGGAGUAUGUCCGAUUUCAAACCGGGCGAC
rnacentral:ncRNA from 1 species